UUUAUACAUCCUGAUGAAUACUGGACCCCCACACGCGCUUCCUCCGACUUAUCGAUAGAUGAAAGCAUGGGGAUGUAAUACCACCAGACAGAAGAUAACAACAACAUGACUAUCCAAUUUGCUGUGGAAAAGGACUUCCACUAAUGCCCAAUCCAAAACAUGGGAGUGGAGGGUGACACUGUAGGGGUGAGACACGCCCCAGGAUCCUUCGGGAGGCAGCACCGGAGAAUAUUGCGCAACGGGAAGAACCCAGGCGCACUCAUUCCGCGAAAAUGACGAAGGCCCACGGAUUUUAUAGUUCUUUCUUUCUGAGGAAGUAGUAUUUUUGAUUAGAUAUUAUCAUUGACGUUAAUUACAGAAGAAGCACCGGGUAACUCCGUGCCAGCAGCCGCGGUAAUACGGAGGGUGCAAGCGUUAAUCGGAAUAACUGGGGGUAAAGGGCACGCAGGCGGACUUUUAAGUGAGAUGUGAAAUCCCCGAGCUUAACUCGGGAACUGCCUUUCAGACUUGGAGUCUAGAGUACUUUAGGGAGGGGUAGAAUUCCACGUGUAGCGGUGAAAAGCGUAGAGAUGUGGAGGAAUACCGAAGGCGAAGGCAGCCCCUUGGGAAUGUACUGACGCUCAUGUGCGAAAGCGUGGGGAGCAAACAGG
rnacentral:rRNA from 1 species